AUUGAACGCUGGCGGCAGGCCUAACACAUGCAAGUCGAGCGAGCGGCGGACGGGUGAGUCAUGUAUGGGGACUGCCCGAUAGAGGUGGAUAACUACGGGAAACGGUGGCUAAUAGUGCAUACUGUCGGGUAACCCAUAUGGGAUUAGCUAGUAGGUAAGGUAAUGGCUUACCUAGGCGACGAUCCCUAGCUGGUCUGAGAGGAUGAUCAGCCAAACUGGGACUGAGACACGGCCCAGACUCCUACGGAGGCAGCAGUGGGGAAUAUUGCACAAUGGGCGCAAGCCUGAUGUAGCCAUGCCGCGUGUAUGAAGAAGGCACUAGGGUUGUAAAGUACUUUCCGUCGGGAGCCGUUACCGACAGAAGAAGCACCGGCUAACUCCGUGCCAGCAGCCACGGUAAUUC
rnacentral:rRNA from 1 species